rnacentral:rRNA from 1 species
CACGUAGGUGGCAAGCGUUAUCCGGAUUUAUUGGGCGUAAAGCGCACGCAGGCGGCUAAUCAAGUUCGGCGUGAAAUCUCUCGGCUCAACCGGGAGGGGUCGUUGAAAACUGAUUGGCUUGAGGCAAUGAGAGGGAUGCAGAAUUCCUGGUGUAGUGGUGGAAUGCGUAGAUAUCAGGAGGAAUACCAGUGGCGAAAGCGGCAUCCUGGCAUUGUGCUGACGCUCAUGUGCGAAAGCGUGGGGAGCAAACGGG